GAUGAAGAACGCAGCGAAAUGCGAUAAGUAAUGCGAAUUGCAGAUCUCAGUGAGUCAUCGAAUCUUUGAACGCACAUUGCGCCCGCUGGUAUUCCGGCGGGCAUGCCUGUUCGAGCGUCAUUUCAACCCUCAAGCCCCCGGGUUUGGUGUUGGGGAUCGGCUCUGCCCUCUGGGCGGUGCCGCCCCCGAAAUACAUUGGCGGUCUCGCUGCAGCCUCCAUUGCGUAGUAGCUAACACCUCGCAACUGGAACGCGGCGCGGCCAUGCCGUAAAACCCCAACUUCUGAAUGUUGACCUCGGAUCAGGUAGGAAUACCCGCUGAACUUAAGCAUAUCAAUAAGCGGAGGA
rnacentral:misc_RNA from 1 species